AGGAUUUCAGGAAACGCAGCUCUUACUAAGAAUAUCCAUUCUGUAGUCAGUGAGAACAUCAAGAAAAACUUUGCAAAGACAAAAUGGAAGCAAGCCUUCAAUGCCACAGCAGUGGUCAGACACAUGAGGAAGCUAGGGCUAGGUGAUGUGAAGGCACAAUUACAAAAGAAGGAAGAAGAGAACAGCAGGUUGGAGGAGAGCAACAACCAAGAAGCCUCUUCAGAUAGUUAGCUAUAUCAUCGCCAUGGCAACCCAUCUCAUACCCUCCAAACCCCCUCCAUAGCACCCUGUCUGAUCCUUGCAGCUCAAUCCACUCUGGGACCACAGUCCUCCAGAAUAGUCCUCCCUGCAUAGAGCCUGCUCAAGACUCUUGAGAGAGCUUUGUCCCAUCCUGGAUAAAAUGUGAACUGAGAUUGUGUAAAGCUGAAAAGCCACUUCUUGUUGCAUUGAGCUGUCAAGAUCCAGCCUUCCAAAAUAGCUGUCUGAAUUAGCAUGUGUGCUAGCAUUAUGCAGCCUUCAACCAGCAAGCACUUAACUAUUUUUAACAUCUAAGAUGAGACAAAGGGAACAUACCAAUUGAAAUGCCCAUCAUGGUGUUGUUAUCCUUUUCCCCCAAGAGUGUUUCUAAAAAAAAUCUCCUCUGGAACAUUCAACCCUCUAUUUCACAGGAAUAAAUUUCAUUUGUAGAGGAAGUUUACCUGACAAUAAAUUUGUUAUAUUAAAAGUGAAAAAUUAUAGAAAAAAUAUUGGUGGAGGUUUGACAAAAAUCGAUAAAAGAAUAAGAGGGUUAGGAUUUUAUUUUUUUUCAGUUUGUUAUGUCUUAUGCGAGUAAGCAGCUGCCCCACAUGGCAUGUAAUGAUUCCAUAUAUUUUCAUUUUUUGAUGGUUUAUGAAGACUGAUAUGAGAUUACAUCUCUGAUGAAACAAUGAAUGCACGAAUAAAAUCAAUUUUAAUUUUCUUAGAAAAUUGCAUUUCAUGGAAUUUAUAUCACAUGACACAUGUGGGAGGUGCUUGCAUGCUUGUGACAUCACAAAAUCAAAACUUGAAAAUUCCAUUACUCUGUUAUAUGAUUUGAUGGAUUUCAGCAAUGCUUUACCAAGAUUUUUUCCUUCUUUUAUUAAAACCAACUUAGCUCAUGGUAAACUUUUCCUUCAAUGAUUCAUAAUGGUUAGGGAAAGAUACAAUUUUUAAAAGAAAACAAGAGCCCAACUCUCUGUACAUUGUAGUUAAAGCUGUUAUGUAUUGCCAAUCAAAACAUACAGCUGAUGAUAAGUGAAGAAUGGUCAAUUUGAGCCACGUUUAUGAAGCAAAGUAUAUACAUUGUCCUGUGAGAAUGCACUUAACAAUUGAGAUGUCAUUUCAAAUGGCAUUUUCAUAAGGCAAAGGAGGUGAAAUGUAAGCUUAUGAGCAAAAUAAGUUCAUACCUGUUAGAACCUGAGCUACAAAUCAAACAGUGUUUGAUGUCUUUUGUUAUAUUUUCUUUUCAUUAUACUAUAAAUAUAAUGAAAAGUAGUUGAUUAUGGAAUGAUUUGGAUGGAUUUUCAUGAAAAUGGCUAUUGUAUUCUUAUCUCUCCCUUAAUGUUCACAUGAACAACAUCCUCUGUUACAAAUAAUGUAUGCUGUUAUUUCAUUUUAGUCCCCUAGCAGUUAUGUCCAGGUUAUAUGUAUCUCUUCUUGUAAAUAUUGUGUUGAAUAAAACUUUUUUGGGAAUGGAUUUUCAAGAUUUGAAUGACAAAUUUUUAGAAAGUUUUAAAAGUGAAGGUUCUUUUUUCUAUGUCACACUUGUCGCUUUUUCAUGUCUCGGACUAUUCAGUAGUCAUAUAGGCUUUCAAUUGAUUUUGCAUUGCAUACUUUAGCAUGUUAGAAUUUUUCUUCCUGACUUAUGCAUAUUUUUUUGUUUUUGAAUGAUUAUUGUUGGUCUAUUCAUUCCAGUCAACCAUUUGAAAGAAAGAACAUAUCAGGAUUUUACCUGGUAGUUUUUUUUCUGUCUGUGCUGUUUGUAGAGCAGCAUUGCAUAUAGAACAAAGUAACUUCUUUCUUAUCUUUCUGUCUCUAUCUCUCUCCCUCUCUUACUCCAUUUAGUGAGUCUCUUUAUUUAGACUACAUAAUCCUUUUCUCACCAAAUUAUUGUAUUCUUCUCUUAGGCUUUGUAGUAAACACCAGAGGUAUGUGCAAAAUGAGUGCCUUGCGGCGAGUGUUUUUGUGAUUAUAACUAACUUUAUAAAGUGUCAGUAUUACAGAACAAGUUAAGAGGAAAUAAAUUUAUUCUUGAUUUUUUUUCUUCAAGUACUCUCUUGUUUCCUCUAUUGAAGAAAUGACACUUUGACAUAUAUUUGUAGAUACUAUUACAUAUUAUGAAGAAGGAAAAAUUAUGUUUUACAUAAAGUUUACUUGACACAUAAACAAUCUCGAUACUCUAUAUAUGCAUUUGGUUUUGUACAUUUUUGGUGAUAAAAGUCUUGUUUAUGUCAUAAGUAUAUAUGUUGGAGGUAUAUCAAAGUCUAUUGUGCAAGUCUAUGAAUGGAUUUAUUUGUGUAGAGAGUUGAUAUGAAGUUAUAAUGAUUAUGACUGUCUUUUGAUGACAAAUGAUUAUUUAAGUGUUGUAAUUCUAAUGGAUAGUUGUACCGUACAGUUUUCCUUUUUACAGUCUUGACCAUUGUGCAUAAUUGUGUGCUAUCAAGAAGGAAUAAAAAUCAAAACUAACUUAAAGCUAAAAUGAUUAUAAAUGGAAACAUAAUAUUCAUUCACACGAGGAUUUUUUCUCCCUGGUAAAUUGGAUGCACAGAAUUGAAACCUUGUGAAUGAGCUAAGAUAUUUUGUAUCAUAGUAGGACAGUCUGCCUUUUUUUAUUGGGCAGAUUUGUGAUUUUUAUGAUAAAGAGAAGAUUUGACUGUUUUCUUCCACAGGUGUCUUGUCAUUUUCCACUCAUUUUGCUCCCCAAAGUGAUUUUUUUUACUGUUUCCAUUUUGUAAAGGCCAGUUUAUUUGUUGAAAGAAAAUUAGAUGUCUCAAGGAUAGUAUCAAUUGUUAGAAUACAUUGUAGAAUAUCAAUCUUUUUCAGAGGUACAUAAGAAAGACAAAUACAUCUUUGACAAUUUGAAUAAACAUAAUUCAGGAUAUUGUAGUUUAAGGUUAAGCAGAAACAUCUCCAAAUCAUAAUCCUGUCUUUUUAAUUCUUUAAUUCUUUUUGACCUCUUCAGUACUUGACACCUGUAACUAUUGGAACUUUGACAUUAUUAGAGGAGGUUUGUUGAAAUUGAAUGAAAAACAAAACACUCAGUGAUUAUGCACCAAGUGCACUAAAGCCAGUCUGUCAAUAUAAUAAACUUUGAAUCCUAACUCUCUUCAUGAAGCAGCAUUUAUAGAGUCUUCAAUUACUAUUUGGAGAUAAUUUACCCACCACAGAUGUAAAUACCAGGUUUCAUUAUAUCUCAUUUCAAUAAGAAGGAAUUUUCUGGAGGACUUCACCAUGAACAAUGUCAUCAGUCUACUACGCAUUGUAUGUAUUCUUUCCAUCUAUCUGCCAAAGGUUGUAGACUGCAGUAGUAUAUUCCAAGAGGGAUUUUCAGACAGAAGCUGGAUAAAAUUCUUGAUUUUUUUAUAGAAAUUUUAUGCACUGCAUUUAACACUUAAGCUGCCACAUGUCGAUAUGAUAAAAGUCAUACAUGGGGAGAGGGGUUGUGCCUGGAUCUACUCUAGACUAUUGGUGUGACAGUGAGCAAUCUUGGAGCCUGAUUAGAAUAUGAACUUUAUACAUUUUGGAUCCCCUUGACAAGCUAUCUGUUUUAAUUGCUAGGUCCCAUGGAUAAGAUAUUAAACCAACCAUCAGUCCUAUGGAUGCAUGCUAAUAAGUAAAGCAGACAUUAAAAACCAUGCAACCAAUUGUGGUUUCACAAUGAUUGUCCAGUGUUCAUGCAUACCAAGACUGAUGGCACCCCCGAGCACUCACACCCACACAUUCAUGGUGGAAAUAAAGGAUAUGGUUUUCAGAAUAGUGUGUCACUAAACCAAGGACUUUUAUGCGAAUGAGAAAUAUUGUGAUAGUUAACUACAGGGGCGGGUCCAGGAUUUUCCAAAAAGGGGGGGGGGGGGCAAAUUUUUCUGAGGAAAAUUUUGACAAGCCCCCCCCCCCCCCCCCCAAAAAAAAAAAAGGUGCUCAACCACAAAUUAAGGAUAUUUCAUACCCGAAAAAAAAAUUUGACUAGCAAAAAAAAAGGAAAAAGGUCUUCAAUUUCAAAAGAAGGGGCACACCUCGGUUUUAAUGGCAUUUUUACAUUACAUCUUAAUUUUGCUUCUCAAAAGGGGGGGGGGGCACAUGCCCCCUGUGUCCCCCCCCCCCCCCUGGAUCCGCGCCUGGUUAAGUAUACAACUCCGGACAUCUUAAACGUUGCCAAUCAUGGACUUUUUAACUAUAACCCUAUGUGCAUAAGCAUAUAAUUUAGGACUGUUCGCAAUAGGUUGUGCGUACUCUGACUGUGAAGUCAUUGGUAAGUAAACACACACUUAAGUCAUAAUUAAGCUGCUCAUGAAAAUAUUUUAUGACUUUACAUACCAUUGGAAUAUUAAGUGCCGAGUGACUCUGGUGGGCGACUCAAGAUUUAAACAUAUUUUUCAGAGAUGAGGUGUGUAUUUUGGUUCUUCCCACUUAAGUUAUAUCACAAAUCUCCUCUCUUCAAUCUCCUUUCUUCAAUCCCUUUUUUCACAUUUAGCCAAAAUUGUAAUAUACUAAUUAUUUUAAUUCAAAAUAUCAACAUAUUACUUUUAGUGCAAUUAUAUUUUUAUAUAGUCUUGGGAUCACAAAGGAACCUUAUAUUCCUUGAGUCAUCGCAAAGAUAUUUAUGAAUUUGCAGGCUCAUUUUUGAAAAAAAAAGUAUACAAUUCGAAGUAAACACAUUAAAAUCUGAAGAAUAGAUGCAUUUACAUAGAUUCAUAGGGUAGAAUACCUAGGUUUUGCCUAAAUAUUCCUCUAAAGCAUAUAGGCAAAUUGCUGUAUUACAUUCUGGAGAAUUUGAUUUGAUUGAAAGUAUAGCUGCCCUCUUGGUUUUGAGUGAAGAAACAAUGUUUUUACAGAACAGUAUUUUGACGUAUUCAUGUUUUGACAAUGAAUUUUGAUGAAUGUUUUAUAAUUUUGGCAAUCACUUCCUCAUUUUGUAAAUAUGUAAACAAACUUAUGAAGGGCCUUUUUCGCAGUAGUGUAUAUGGUGACUUUUAAUAGUGUUUUAUUCAUGAUGGAAAGGCUCAUUUUUGCAAUUUACAAGUCAAAUUAUGUCUCUCAUUGCUUGGUUUCAUUAUCAUGGAACUGUAUAUGAUGGCAAAGUUCAAUACUGCUUUUAGGCAGAUCAGAACUAUGAUGCUUUGAUUUUUUGAAUUCUUCAAAAUUGUUCACUUUUUUUGUCAAAAGGAUAGUAGAUGCACAAUCCUAUGUGUUCACAUUAUAAGAAUUAUCACUGUAUACAAUAUUAUAUAAACCACUUUUAUUUGAUAAAUUGGGAUAAAACAAAUACAUAUGCCAAAUUUGAAUGAGUAAAUGCCAUAUAUUGAAAAUAUAUUUUGUGACAAUAAUUUGAUCAAGGUAUAUUUAUUAAUUUCCCCAAUUUUUAGUGCAUACUACAAAAUGGGUAAACAUACUUGAAUGUAGAAGGUCCUCAAACAGGUUAUUUAAUUUCAUAAGUACUGUUUAUUGGUCUAUAAAGUUCAGUUUCAUUUUCAUUUCAUUUCAUUUUCAAAAAUGAAGAUUUUGCAAUAGUAAUGCUGUUAUUUUGCAAACUAAUACUGCUACUAUAUCAGGUCUCCUGAUCUGGCUUUGAUUCCAGCGACAUACGUAGUUAUUUCAAUUGACUUUUUAUCUGUGUAAAAGUUCUUAAUGUUGGUUCACAUUGUGCAGUAUCCAGAGCAUUGAUGCACCUCACAAGUAUGCAUGUUGUCCAAGCACAUCGAGAACCAGAAGAUUCACUUAUCAUAGCUUCAAUGACCUUUUGGCUCUUAGCAGACAGUGUGAGGCAAUCUUUUUGUCUCUAUAUGUUUUCAUCUUCCUUCAAAAAUUGAUUAUAUUUACCAAGUGAUUACAUUUACGAUUUAAUUUCAUU